GUGUUUAUCCUCCACUCCCCGCGAUUCCCCCAACCAACCCCAUCGCCGCCGCCGACGACCUUCUCUCCCCCAACCCCACCGCCGGCGCCCCCCACCUCACCAGCAGCCAUUGCCAUGGACAGAGCUGCUGCCUCUCUCGGCGCCCGAAGCCCUAGCUCAGGCCGCCGCGACCCACCCGUUGCGUCCCACGUUCACGCGCGAGAUUCCGACCCAUGGCGAUGCUCGAUCCAGGUAGGCCCGAGGAAGGAGAGCAGUUGGCUCCCUUCCUCCUCUCAGGUGAGCCUGAGCGAGCACCCCUCCCCCCGUGACCACAAAUCCACCCCCAGUUCCUCCAUCCUCCCUCCAGUCUUCGACGCUGUCGCCGCCCAGCCAUGGAGUACCACCGCAACACCUGGUAUGGCGCACCACGGCCACCCAUCGCCGGUGACCUCCCACAGCUCUGACCCUGGCUGCCUCCUAGCACACUGCCGCUUCACCAGCCUCCCCCUCCCCACCUCCUCCGCACCGCCGCUGGACUAGCGUGUCGCGUUGCCCUCAGAUCUAGCUUCCAGGAGCUGCCACGGUUGUUCAGCAGGUAGCAGUGCGUGCAUCAUUGGUCGUGUGUGCAGUCCGCAUCCCUUUCGCAUGCCUGCACUACGGUUCCCUGGUGUAGUUCAAUGUUUGGCUCUGCCUCCCCCUGUUUGCAGCUCCUUUCAAUUAUUUUGCAGCUCACUGGAUAUAUUUUUGCAGUUCAUUGUGAGAAUCCAUGGCGCUGGUCGCGCCGCACCUUUUCCUGCUUCUUCUCGUCUGAGGCGAGCACCAGCGGUACGUAUCAGCCCUCUUCUCUAUGGUGCUGGCUAGAUUAACAUAUUCAAGUCAAGAUGGUUAGGUUUGGGAAAAAGUUGACGGCCGGCCAAGUUCCAAAGUGGAGAGGGUACGAUUCAGUUACUAUAUAAACUACAAGCUGAUGAAGAAGAAAGUAAAACAAUAUGGGCAGCAGCUCCAACAGGGAGAGAAAGACCGUUGCCGUGUUCUCAAGCAUUUCUCAAAGAUGCUUGAUGAUCAGGUAGAAGAUAGCAACAGAGUGGGAAGGUUUGUGUAGAGAUCUUACCUCGAGGUUAUCACAGAUGCGCAUAAUAUGACACUGAAUUGGCCAAAAAUAGGGGGCUACAAGAUGAACUUUUAAAGGUUAAGACCUCACUGUCUGCUUCAACGAAGAGAUUUGAAGAGUUGCAAAAGGUAAUUUUGGGGCAAAUUUCCAUUGCUGCAGGAUAAUGAGAUGUUGAAGCGGCAGACUGAAUCCAUGACACCGAAGUGCAAUUGCGGCAGAUUAUCUCUAUUUUUCCUUUUCAUUUUUCUUAUUAUUGGAGUGAUAACAGGUAGAAUGAGGAACUGUGUGAUAGUAGAUACAACAACUGUAGUAGAAAGAAACUUAUGUUUGCAAUUGUUAAUGACAUACAUACUUGCAUGUUCUUUGAAGUGGUCAAUCGUGAGUACCAAUGCAUAAUGAUGGGGUUUUGGCUCAUUUAUUGGCUUUGGUGUCCAGUUAACCAUGAAAUAGGAGUCCAUGUCAAUUAUGUAUGCUC